rnacentral:rRNA from 1 species
GAUGAACGCUGGCGGCGUGCCUAAUACAUGCAAGUCGAGCGAACAGAUAAGGAGCUUGCUCCUUUGACGUUAGCGGCGGACGGGUGAGUAACACGUGGGUAACCUACCUAUAAGACUGGAAUAACUCCGGGAAACCGGGGCUAAUGCCGGAUAACAUUUAGAACCGCAUGGUUCUAAAGUGAAAGAUGGUUUUGCUAUCACUUAUAGAUGGACCCGCGCCGUAUUAGCUAGCUGGUAAGGUGACGGCUUACCAAGGCAACGAUACGUAGCCGACCUGAGAGGGUGAUCGGCCACACUGGAACUGAGACACGGUCCAGACUCCUACGGGAGGCAGCAGUAGGGAAUCUUCCGCAAUGGGCGAAAGCCUGACGGAGCAACGCCGCGUGAGUGAUGAAGGUCUUCGGAUCGUAAAACUCUGUUAUUAGGGAAGAACAAAUGUGUAAGUAACUGUGCACGUCUUGACGGUACCUAAUCAGAAAGCCACGGCUAACUACGUG